rnacentral:tRNA from 1 species
CCUCUGAUAGCUCAGUUGGCAGAGCGGUGGACUGUAGAUGCAUAGGUCGCUGGUUCAAGUCCGGCUCAAAGGA